rnacentral:rRNA from 1 species
UGGGGAAUAUUGGACAAUGGGCGCAAGCCUGAUCCAGCAAUACCGCGUGUGUGAAGAAGGCCUGAGGGUUGUAAAGCACUUUCAAUGGGGAGGAAUAGCGGUUAGUUAAUACCUGAUCGUGUGACAUUACCCAUACAAGAAGCACCGGCUAACUCCGUGCCAGCAGCCGCGGUAAUACGGAGGGUGCAAGCGUUAAUCGGAAUUACUGGGCGUAAAGCGUGCGUAGGUGGCUCGUUAAGUCAGAUGUGAAAGCCCCGGGCUUAACCUGGGAACGGCAUUUGAAACUGGCGAGCUAGAGUUGAGUAGAGGGGAGUGGAAUUUCAGGUGUAGCGGUGAAAUGCGUAGAUAUCAAGAGGAACACCUGAGGUGAAGACGGGUUGCUGGGCUGACACUGACGCUGAGGCGCGAAAGCCAGGGGAGCAAACGGGAUUAGAUACCCAAGUAGUCCCUGAGCGGGCUGGCAAGGCGCAU